UACGGGGGGGGCAAGCGUUGUUCGGAAUUACUGGGCGUAAAGGGCUCGUAGGCGCCAACUAAGUCAGACGUGAAAUCCCUCGGCUUAACCGGGGAACUGCGUCUGAUACUGGAUGGCUUGAGUUUGGGAGAGGGAUGCGGAAUUCCAGGUGUAGCGGUGAAAUGCGUAGAUAUCUGGAGGAACACCGGUGGCGAAGGCGGCAUCCUGGACCAACACUGACGCUGAGUGAGCGAAAGCCAGGGGAGCAAACGGG
rnacentral:rRNA from 1 species